rnacentral:rRNA from 1 species
ACUGGCUCAGGAUGAACGCUAGCGCAGGCUAACACAUGCAAGUCGAGGGGCAUCGGGAGUAGCAAUACUUGCCGGCGACCGGCGCAAGGGUGCGUAACGCGUGAGCAACAUGCCCGUAUCAGGGGGAUAAUCCAUGGAAACGUGGUCUAAUACCCCAUAGUAAUUAUGUAAGGCAUCUUAUAUAAUUUAAAGCUUUGGUGGAUACGGAUUGGCUCGCGUGACAUUAGCUGGAUGGUAAGGUAACGGCUUACCAUGGCUACGAUGUCUAGGGGUUCUGAGAGGAAGGUCCCCCACACUGGAACUGAGACACGGUCCAGACUCCUACGGGAGGCAGCAGUGAGGAAUAUUGGACAAUGGAUGGAAAUCUGAUCCAGCCAUGCCGCGUGCAAGGAAGACGGCCCUAUGGGUUGUAAACUGCUUUUGUAUGGGAGCAAUAAGGGCUACGUGUAGUCCGAUGAGAGUACCAUACGAAUAAGCACCGGCUAACUCCGUGCCAGCAGCCGC